rnacentral:lncRNA from 1 species
AGAGACCAGAGAGCCAGUCCAACCCAGUCCAUCACCUGGAGGCUGGAGAACCACGAGGCUGUUGCCUGUUCGUCCCCCUCUUCUGAGAGGUCCAGGUCACCUGCUCUGGGAGAAGCCAGUUGCCAUGUUGUAAGGACACUCAAGCAGCCCAUGGAAUGACUCACAUGCUGAAGAACUGAGCCCUCCCUCCUUCCAACAGCCAGGGAGGAACUAGGGCUUCUUGCCAAUAACCAUGUGAAGAAGCUUGGAAAUGGAUUCUCCCCCAAAUGAGUCUUCAGAUUACUGUAGACUAACAUCUUGACUGCAACCUCUAGAAAGACCCUGAGCCAGGAUCACCAAGCUCACAGAAGCU